rnacentral:lncRNA from 1 species
UUUGUUUACAAAUUUCCGCACCGCGUGCGGAUAAACAGGCCUUUACCGCUGAUUUUGCACAGAUAAAUUAAUUCUGUUUGCUUUCAACUGUUGUAAAGCUACAGGUACUUUUUUGAACACUACCAAAUUCAUGAAUGCCAUCAUAUAAACUCCAAAAAGGAUGAAGGUGGCUGUGGAAGGAGGGUGCCCAGUAUGAUGUCAUUGAGAUGCAGAGGGUGAACAUGUGGCACAUUUCUCCAGAGCUUUAAAAAGCUGAAUAUGGAGUUUAUCAAAUUUUGCGAUCUUUCAAUCUUUGGGGAGGUGAUUAAUCAGGUUCGUGUUGAGACAUGGUUUUCAGUACACUGCAAAGUGUCACUAUCCGAAGACAUUCCGUCUUGGUAUCCGCGUUGCAUCUCAUGACCACACUUUCUCAC